CUACGGGUGGCUGCAGUGAGGAAUAUUGGUCAAUGGCCGAGAGGCUGAACCAGCCAUCCCGCGUGCAGGAUGACGGCCCUAUGGGUUGUAAACCGCUUUUCUACGCCAAGAAAUCUGAUUACGUGUAAUUAGUUGACGGUAGCGUAGGAAUAAGCAUCGGCUAACUCCGUGCCAGCAGCCGUGGUAAUACGGAGGAUGCAAGCGUUAUCCGGAUUCAUUGGGUUUAAAGGGUGCGCAGGCGGGCUUGUAAGUCAGUGGUGAAAUACUGCCGCUUAACGGUAGAACUGCCAUUGCUACUGCAAGUCUUGAAUAUGGUUGAGGUAGGCGGAAUGUGUUGUGUAGCGGUGAAAUGCAUAGAUAUGACACAGAACGCCGAUUGCGAAGGCAGCUUACUAAGCCAUUAUUGACGCUGAGGCACGAAAGCGUGGGGAGCGAACAGGAUUAGAUACCCUUGUAGUC
rnacentral:rRNA from 1 species